rnacentral:lncRNA from 1 species
AAAGGAUGAUCGCUGGGCUUCUCUACAUCUAUCAAGGGCCAAGUAUACGAUGACAGUUCAUCAUUUAAAAGCCCAUUCGCCACCCACAUAAUACAGGCCCAACUCAUCAGUCAGAGCAACUUAGCCUACUACUUUACCAUCCCUAUGGUAAAUGCCGUGGAAACAGAGGGGCAAGUCAUGAAAAGACUCAAAAGUACAAGCAAAUGGGAGCAUGAUAAAGGUCAGACUUACGCAUCACUUAAAAAGUUAUAAGAUUUGAUUUAUCGCUACUAAACAAAGGGUGGGAGAUCGGAAAGAGGCGCCAAAAGCACCUCGGAGUCAUA